UGCUCAAUACAUGUCAGUCGAGCGAGAUCUUCGGGGUUAGCGGCGGACGGGUAGUACACGGCACCUGCCUGUAAGACUGGGAUACACCGGGAAACGGUGCUAAUACCGGAUAAUCCUUUUCCUCUCAUGAGGGAAAGCUGAAAGACGGUUUCGGCUGUCACUUACAGAUGGGCCCGCGGCGCAUUAGCUAGUUGGUGAGGUAACGGCUCACCAAGGCGACGAUGCGUAGCCGACCUGAGAGGGUGAUCGGCCACACUGGGACUGAGACACGGCCCAGACUCCUACGGGAGGCAGCAGUAGGGAAUCUUCCACAAUGGACGAAAGUCUGAUGGAGCAACGCCGCGUGAGCGAUGAAGGCCUUCGGGUCGUAAAGCUCUGUUGUUAGGGAAGAA
rnacentral:rRNA from 1 species